UGAGCAACCUGCCCUUGACUCUGGAAUAACAGCUGGAAACAGCUGCUAAUACCGGAUACGACCUCCGAUGGCAUCAUCUGGAGGUGGAAAGCUCCGACGGUCAAGGAUGGGCUCGCGGCCUAUCAGCUUGUUGGUGAGGUAACGGCUCACAAGGCUUCGACGGGUAGCCGGCUGAGGAGGGCCGACCGGCCACACGUGGGACUGAGAUACCGGCCCAGACCUNUACGGGGA
rnacentral:rRNA from 1 species